AGAGUUUGAUCAUGGCUCGAGAACGAACGCUGGCGGCAGGCUUAACACAUGCAAGUCGAACGGGCGUAGCAAUACGUCAGUGGCAGACGGGUGAGUAACACGUGGGAACCUUCCUAGGGGUACGGAACAACUCAGGGAAACUUGAGCUAAUACCGUAUACGUCCGUGAGGAGAAAGAUUUAUCGCCCUUAGACGGGCCCGCGUCGGAUUAGCUAGUUGUGGGGUAACGGCCUACCAAGGCGACGAUCCGUAGCUGAUCUGAGAGGAUGAUCAGCCACACUGGGACUGAGACACGGCCCAGACUCCUACGGGAGGCAGCAGUGGGGAAUCUUGGACAAUGGGCGCAAGCCUGAUCCAGCCAUGCCGCGUGAGUGAAGAAGGCCUUCGGGUUGUAAAGCUCUUUUGUCAGGGACGAUAAUGACGGUACCUGAAGAAUAAGCCCCGGCAAACUUCGUG
rnacentral:rRNA from 1 species